rfam:Culex pipiens quinquefasciatus supercont3.139 genomic scaffold, whole genome shotgun sequence.
GGCUCCGUGGCUUAAUGAUUACGGCUUCUGUUUCCCAAGCAGAAGGUUCAGGGAUCAAAUCCCGGUCGGUACCU